GACGAACGCUGGCGGCGUGCCUAAUACAUGCAAGUUGAGCGCUGAAGGUUGGUACUUGUACCAACUGGAUGAGCAGCGAACGGGUGAGUAACGCGUGGGGAAUCUGCCUUUGAGCGGGGGACAACAUUUGGAAACGAAUGCUAAUACCGCAUAAAAACUUUAAACACAAGUUUUAAGUUUGAAAGAUGCAAUUGCAUCACUCAAAGAUGAUCCCGCGUUGUAUUAGCUAGUUGGUGAGGUAAAGGCUCACCAAGGCGAUGAUACAUAGCCGACCUGAGAGGGGGAUCGGCCCAAUUGGGAAUGAGACACGGCCCAAACUCCUACGGGAGGCAGCAGUAGGGAAUCUUCGGCAAUGGACGAAAGUCUGACCGAGCAACGCCGCGUGAGUGAAGAAGGUUUUCGGAUCGUAAAACUCUGUUGGUAGAGAAGAACGUUGGUGAGAGUGGAAAGCUCAUCAAGUGACGGUAACUACCCAGAAAGGGACGGCUAACUACGUG
rnacentral:rRNA from 1 species